rnacentral:rRNA from 1 species
AACGCGAAGAACCUUACCUGGUCUUGACAUCCACAGAACUUUCCAGAGAUGGAUUGGUGCCUUCGGGAACUGUGAGACAGGUGCUGCAUGGCUGUCGUCAGCUCGUGUUGUGAAAUGUUGGGUUAAGUCCCGCAACGAGCGCAACCCUUAUCUUUUGUUGCCAGCGGUCCGGCCGGGAACUCAAAGGAGACUGCCAGUGAUAAACUGGAGGAAGGUGGGGAUGACGUCAAGUCAUCAUGGCCCUUACGACCAGGGCUACACACGUGCUACAAUGGCGCAUACAAAGAGAAGCGACCUCGCGAGAGCAAGCGGACCUCAUAAAGUGCGUCGUAGUCCGGAUUGGAGUCUGCAACUCGACUCCAUGAAGUCGGAAUCGCUAGUAAUCGUGGAUCAGAAUGCCACGGUGAAUACGUUCCCGGGCCUUGUACACACCGCCCGU